UUUGUAUAAUGGGUCAGCGACUUAUAUUCUGUAGCAAGGUUAACCGAAUAGGGGAGCCGAAGGGAAACCGAGUCUUAACCGGGCGUUAAGUUGCAGGGUAUAGACCCGAAACCCGGUGAUCUAGCCAUGGGCAGGUUGAAGGUUGGGUAACACUAACUGGAGGACCGAACCGACUAAUGUUGAAAAAUUAGCGGAUGACUUGUGGCUGGGGGUGAAAGGCCAAUCAAACCGGGAGAUAGCUGGUUCUCCCCGAAAGCUAUUUAGGUAGCGCCUCGUGAAUUCAUCUCCGGGGGUAGAGCACUGUUUCGGCAAGGGGGUCAUCCCGACUUACCAACCCGAUGCAAACUGCGAAUACCGGAGAAUGUUAUCACGGGAGACACACGGCGGGUGCUAACGUCCGUCGUGAAGAGGGAAACAACCCAGACCGCCAGCUAAGGUCCCAAAGUCAUGGUUAAGUGGGAAACGAUGUGGGAAGGCCCAGACAGCCAGGAUGUUGGCUUAGAAGCAGCCAUCAUUUAAAGAAAGCGUAAUAGCUCACUGGUCGAGUCGGCCUGCGCGGAAGAUGUAACGGGGCUAAACCAUGCACCGAAGCUGCGGCAGCGACACUGUGUGUUGUUGGGUAGGGGAGCGUUCUGUAAGCCUGUGAAGGUGUACUGUGAGGUAUGCUGGAGGUAUCAGAAGUGCGAAUGCUGACAUAAGUAACGAUAAAGCGGGUGAAAAGCCCGCUCGCCGGAAGACCAAGGGUUCCUGUCCAACGUUAAUCGGGGCAGGGUGAGUCGACCCCUAAGGCGAGGCCGAAAGGCGUAGUCGAUGGGAAACAGGUUAAUAUUCCUGUACUUGGUGUUACUGCGAAGGGGGGACGGAGAAGGCUAUGUUGGCCGGGCGACGGUUGUCCCGGUUUAAGCGUGUAGGCUGGUUUUCCAGGCAAAUCCGGAAAAUCAAGGCUGAGGCGUGAUGACGAGGCACUACGGUGCUGAAGCAACAAAUGCCCUGCUUCCAGGAAAAGCCUCUAAGCAUCAGGUAACAUCAAAUCGUACCCCAAACCGACACAGGUGGUCAGGUAGAGAAUACCAAGGCGCUUGAGAGAACUCGGGUGAAGGAACUAGGCAAAAUGGUGCCGUAACUUCGGGAGAAGGCACGCUGAUAUGUAGGUGAAGUCCCUCGCGGAUGGAGCUGAAAUCAGUCGAAGAUACCAGCUGGCUGCAACUGUUUAUUAAAAACACAGCACUGUGCAAACACGAAAGUGGACGUAUACGGUGUGACGCCUGCCCGGUGCCGGAAGGUUAAUUGAUGGGGUCAGCGCAAGCGAAGCUCUUGAUCGAAGCCCCGGUAAACGGCGGCCGUAACUAUAACGGUCCUAAGGUAGCGAAAUUCCUUGUCGGGUAAGUUCCGACCUGCACGAAUGGCGUAAUGAUGGCCAGGCUGUCUCCACCCGAGACUCAGUGAAAUUGAACUCGCUGUGAAGAUGCAGUGUACCCGCGGCAAGACGGAAAGACCCCGUGAACCUUUACUAUAGCUUGACACUGAACAUUGAGCCUUGAUGUGUAGGAUAGGUGGGAGGCUUUGAAGUGUGGACGCCAGUCUGCAUGGAGCCGACCUUGAAAUACCACCCUUUAAUGUUUGAUGUUCUAACGUGGACCCGUGAUCCGGGUUGCGGACAGUGUCUGGUGGGUAGUUUGACUGGGGCGGUCUCCUCCUAAAGAGUAACGGAGGAGCACGAAGGUUGGCUAAUCCUGGUCGGACAUCAGGAGGUUAGUGCAAUGGCAUAAGCCAGCUUGACUGCGAGCGUGACGGCGCGAGCAGGUGCGAAAGCAGGUCAUAGUGAUCCGGUGGUUCUGAAUGGAAGGGCCAUCGCUCAACGGAUAAAAGGUACUCCGGGGAUAACAGGCUGAUACCGCCCAAGAGUUCAUAUCGACGGCGGUGUUUGGCACCUCGAUGUCGGCUCAUCACAUCCUGGGGCUGAAGUAGGUCCCAAGGGUAUGGCUGUUCGCCAUUUAAAGUGGUACGCGAGCUGGGUUUAGAACGUCGUGAGACAGUUCGGUCCCUAUCUGCCGUGGGCGCUGGAGAACUGAGGGGGGCUGCUCCUAGUACGAGAGGACCGGAGUGGACGCAUCACUGGUGUUCGGGUUGUCAUGCCAAUGGCACUGCCCGGUAGCUAAAUGCGGAAGAGAUAAGUGCUGAAAGCAUCUAAGCACGAAACUUGCCCCGAGAUGAGUUCUCCCUGACCCUUUAAGGGUCCUGAAGGAACGUUGAAGACGACGACGUUGAUAGGCCGGGUGUGUAAGCGCAGCGAUGCGUUGAGCUAACCGGUACUAAUGAACCGUGAGGCUUAACCU
rnacentral:rRNA from 1 species